rnacentral:rRNA from 1 species
GACGAACGCUGGCGGCGUGCUUAACACAUGCAAGUCGAACGGAAAGGCUCCAGCUUGCUGGAGUACUCGAGUGGCGAACGGGUGAGUAACACGUGGGUAAUCUGCCCUGCACUCUGGGAUAAGCCUGGGAAACUGGGUCUAAUACUGGAUAUGACCUUUCUCCUUAUGGGGUUUGGUGGAAAGUUUUUCGGUGUAGGAUGAGCCCGCGGCCUAUCAGCUUGUUGGUGGGGUGAUGGCCUACCAAGGCGACGACGGGUAGCCGGCCUGAGAGGGUGAUCGGCCACAUUGGGACUGAGAUACGGCCCAGACUCCUACGGGAGGCAGCAGUGGGGAAUAUUGCACAAUGGGCGGAAGCCUGAUGCAGCGACGCCGCGUGAGGGAUGACGGCCUUCGGGUUGUAAACCUCUUUCAGCAGGGACGAAGCGUAAGUGACGGUACCUGCAGAAGAAGCACCGACUAACUACGUG